GUGUUACUGCGAAGGGGGGACGGAGAAGGCUAUGUUGGCCGGGCGACGGUUGUCCCGGUUUAAGCGUGUAGGUGUGUGUUCCAGGUAAAUCCGGUUCACUUUAACACUGAGGCGUGACGACGAGGCACUACGGUGCUGAAGCAACAAAUGCCCUGCUUCCAGGAAAAGCCUCUAAGCAUCAGGUAACAUCAAAUCGUACCCCAAACCGACACAGGUGGUCAGGUAGAGAAUACCAAGGCGCUUGAGAGAACUCGGGUGAAGGAACUAGGCAAAAUGGUGCCGUAACUUCGGGAGAAGGCACGCUGACACGUAGGUGAAGUGAUUUACUCAUGGAGCUGAAGUCAGUCGAAGAUACCAGCUGGCUGCAACUGUUUAUUAAAAACACAGCACUGUGCAAACACGAAAGUGGACGUAUACGGUGUGACGCCUGCCCGGUGCCGGAAGGUUAAUUGAUGGGGUCAGCGCAAGCGAAGCUCCUGAUCGAAGCCCCGGUAAACGGCGGCCGUAACUAUAACGGUCCUAAGGUAGCGAAAUUCCUUGUCGGGUAAGUUCCGACCUGCACGAAUGGCGUAAUGAUGGCCAGGCUGUCUCCACCCGAGACUCAGUGAAAUUGAACUCGCUGUGAAGAUGCAGUGUACCCGCGGCAAGACGGAAAGACCCCGUGAACCUUUACUAUAGCUUGACACUGAACAUUGAGCCUUGAUGUGUAGGAUAGGUGGGAGGCUUUGAAGUGUGGACGCCAGUCUGCAUGGAGCCGACCUUGAAAUACCACCCUUUAAUGUUUGAUGUUCUAACGUGGACCCGUUACCCGGGUUGCGGACAGUGUCUGGUGGGUAGUUUGACUGGGGCGGUCUCCUCCUAAAGAGUAACGGAGGAGCACGAAGGUUGGCUAAUCCUGGUCGGACAUCAGGAGGUUAGUGCAAUGGCAUAAGCCAGCUUGACUGCGAGCGUGACGGCGCGAGCAGGUGCGAAAGCAGGUCAUAGUGAUCCGGUGGUUCUGAAUGGAAGGGCCAUCGCUCAACGGAUAAAAGGUACUCCGGGGAUAACAGGCUGAUACCGCCCAAGAGUUCAUAUCGACGGCGGUGUUUGGCACCUCGAUGUCGGCUCAUCACAUCCUGGGGCUGAAGUAGGUCCCAAGGGUAUGGCUGUUCGCCAUUUAAAGUGGUACGCGAGCUGGGUUUAGAACGUCGUGAGACAGUUCGGUCCCUAUCUGCCGUGGGCGCUGGAGAACUGAGGGGGGCUGCUCCUAGUACGAGAGGACCGGAGUGGACGCAUCACUGGUGUUCGGGUUGUCAUGCCAAUGGCACUGCCCGGUAGCUAAAUGCGGAAGAGAUAAGUGCUGAAAGCAUCUAAGCACGAAACUUGCCCCGAG
rnacentral:rRNA from 1 species